GUGGCUGUCUCUAUGUUGGUCCUCCUUGCGUGUUUGCGAAGUAAACUUCAUGGAAUUAUGCAGCCCAUCUAUGAAAAAUGGAUUCCAUAUCUGGAUUACAUAUGUGCCUUCCUUGGAAUCUUCGCUGGAGGUGCUCGUCGCUGGAGGUGCUGUGUGUGUGUGUGUGCAACUGAGGUGGACCACCUGGAUUAUAUUGUACUACGUCGACAGUCGACACCGUUGGAUCGCCGUUCAUGCGGUCAGACGUUAAGUUCUUUUUAGUCAACGGCCUGGUUCCUUGCACCCUCUCAAACUCUAGCUCUUUGAAGCUGACGCGUUAAUUUUGAACACAAUUCCGUCGUGGCCUGUAGAAGAAUGUGGGUGGGACUUUCGGCUUGGUCGAGGAACCUUAACGCUGGGAGGGCGAGAAGUUCAUUUGUCUCCGGCGUGCCAAGGUUAGGCGUAUCUGACGCGCUGUCUCGUAAGCCGGUUCGUAAUGUCGUAGUUACGGCAACCUUCCACUCGGUUACCACGAGUAGAGUUGUCCCAGUAUUUUGUCUAACUGGCUUGCCUGUACCGGAAGUCUACAAUGUAAAACAUUUUCGAUGUCUUUUUGUAGUCGAGGACUUACGAAGUUUUUAUUUCGUAUAGGUGAGAGCUUAUUUUUUACCAGGACAGGAAUGGCGCAUUCAUAGUAGCCCACGACUUGAAUUCGUAUACCAUCGAAAUUUGUUGACCGUAACUUGUUGGCGUUAUAUCAGCUGCAAACCUCCUUUAACCGAAUCCUGUUCGGGAAUCCCUGUAGUCUUGGGCAGAUACCAAGGUCAGGUGUUUCCUCUUGGCCUGUGGACUGUUUGCCGUCCACGACAGCCUUCUUUGUUCAGGUAUUAACACAUAGUACUAACCUGUAACGCUCAUUCUUGUGAUUUUGCAUGCAGCCUCGUUAGGUUAGUGUCUUGCCACACUUUCUGAAACUGUCCGUCUCCUUCCUGCAUGUCUCCGUCGGAUUUCAUUCUUGCAUGAACGAUGGUUGUGUCCUAGAGCAUCCCAUGUCUCUGCCCAAGACGUCGCCCCUUACCUUACUCGAUAAUGGAACUGUCGGAGUUUCUACAGAAUUCCGUAGAGUAUAAACCUUUCACCUGCGAGUCUUGCUGAAUUUGCGCUCCGCCCUAAAUUCAGUGUUCGGAAAAUUUGUUGGCUGCUAUGAAGCGUCACUACAACCCUUGGCACGUCUUGGAUUUCCUUUGGUCUCUCUAGCUACAGCCCCAGGCGCGUAAAAGUGGGUGGAGCUUAGGCGUGUUGCAUACCCGUUGCCCCGUAGGUGUUUAUCUAAAUUUUCUCGGAGGCCACUAUGGACAUUGACGCGUUUAAUAUUGUCGCGAGUGUUCCAGUACACAUUGUUCACACUAUGCUCACUGCAUCUCACAAGACACACCAUGUCGUCAUACUUACCUCUGAUAGCUUAGCUUCUUCGCGCGUCUUCACCUUGUUAACGCCCGUGCCAGCACCUCACACGCACUUCACACCUUUCUGUUGAAAUAGUUGCUCCUUCGGAGCCUCCGUUCAGCAGAAUGCGGUUGAAUGCACCUACUGUCUUCACAGGGCCGGGAUGGAGGGUUUGCGAUUGCAAGGUGGGCCUCGUUCGCUGGGUUGGGGUGGUGAGUACAAUAUUGACGCGACGCGUGAAGCGACGAGUGUCUCAGCUUUGAGGAUAGAUCGGCUCAGGCAGGCGUACAGAUAGCUUAGGCAAUCGUAGCCCGGGUGCUUGGUGCCGGCUGUGCAACGGUGAAGGUAGUCAGGGAGUAAACUUUGUCUCGCGUGUUCAACUUGGCAAGGUAAGCCUUACACCCUCACAUCACACUCGCUACACACAUUGGGCAUGAUUCGAUUAACUGACCAGUUCGGACUUUGAGAGAGACCAGAGGGUUGUAAUAUAUGCUGACAUGUCUCGCCGCAAUUUCUUCUCAAACAGCUUGAUUGCUUCUAAGAGCUUUGGCUCCCAUUUCCUACCCAGAUUAUCAUUCCAACUUAAUUUUAAUCAACUUUAAGAUGCUGAUAUGCUACGUAAUCAACAUGAUGACUUGUCUGCUUAAACGUGCCAUCUUUGUUGGGCUCUACUUUCGUGGUUCUCGGAGCUUUCGGUCGUAGAGCCUCGCAAACCUCUAUACGGGGGGACGUAAUCGGUUUGUAGACAGGGUGCUUCGAAAGAAUAAAAAUUCUCAUUCAAAACUCAAAUCUUUACGAACAAUCCUCAUUCGUUUCCAAAACUCCUCACCAAUUCGGAUUAAAUUCCAAAUCUUUCGAAUCACCCUAUCUAUUAAUACGUAUAGCGCUAUGCCAUCCAUGGCAUGCUUCCAUGAUCAGCUUUGCUUAGAAGACUUCUUGCUUAACUUGUUAUAAUUAUUUGUUCAUACCUUAUUUGUACUCGACGGUUCCAGAUUCUGUAGAUUAUAGACACCCUUACAAACGUGUGACGUCACCAUAAGACUGGCUCGAGGUUAUAUAUUUUGCUGUGGUGGGCAAGAAGCGCGGAAAGGCUAGUCUGCUGGUAGACCGAUAAGGUUGAUGGGUGCCCACCCGCAUACUUUGCGCCACGGCGGACCUUAAUCGAUGACGUAGGGGAGCAGGUAGUCUAUAGACAACCAGCGCCCCCUCCCCUUGGGCCCCUACGUCAUUAAGUGACGCCACCGCGCAAACCAUGCUGGUGCGCUCUAUCAGCAGACGCGUUUUUCCCCGCUUCUUUCUCACCCUUACAAACAUGUAACGUCACGAUAAGACUGCCCAAGUAGCACAAUGUACUGCGAUUGGCGGUGGACAGUAUGUGUCUUAUCAAUGUUCUUUGGUUUCACGGGUCAGUUCAAGGCCUUCCACCUACCCGUCCACCCCUAUAGCACUCGACUUUCAGUACAUUGUACUGCUUGGGUGGUUCGAGGUUAAUUUUGCUGUUGUGGGCAAGAAGCGGGAAAAACGUGUCUGCUGAUAGGCCGAAAAGGCUGAUAAGGUUGAUAGGUGGCCAUCGGCAUGCUUUUCGCCACGGCGAAACUUAAUCGAUGACGUAGGGGAGCAGGUAGUCUAUAGACUACCUGCGUCCCCACCCUUGGGCCCCUACGUCAUUAAGUAACGCCACAGCGCAAAGCAUGCUGGUGCGCACUAUCAGCUUUCAGCCAACACGUUUUCCCGCUUCUUGCUCACCAAAGCAGAUAACCUCGAACCUGUCUUCUCAUGACGUCACAUGUUUGUAAACAGAGGAUAGUCUAUACUGGGGGGGGAUGAACUUCAUGUGGACUCAACUCCAUGCUGCGAUUUUUUCUUUAUGCCGUUCCUUUUACGAUUUUCUUCUUUUUUUCUUUUUUUUUUUUUUUUUCACCGUCUCGUACGUAUCCGCUUGCCAAACCAACUUAAUCCAUGUUCGCGUCUGCGAUAUCCUCCUCCACGUGGCUUUUUAUUUUUUCGCCUUAGUUCUAACGUUUAGCUACGAUGACGCUUAUUAUGUAAUCUAUUUUUGGCUUCGCGUACGGCUUCACGUAAUUUUCGUUCGCGCCGUACGGACAGCAAGUACCCUGGCAGCUGCACAUCGCUCUUCUCUAUGCGUAAGUUGAAGUUCCUUGUAAGUUGAACAAUUCAUCGAUAUAUGCUGCAAUAAUGGUUUUUCACCUUUCAGAAAUGCAAAGAUAUUGCGACGAUUGUAAGGUGACAAACGCUAUUUUGGUUUCAAUUGCUAAUGCAACAACCGAAGAGGAAAUGGGUAAGACGAGGUCAAAGUAAGUUCCUUGCCUCGAAGUUCCCGUGGUCUUACAGUAUCAUUCGCCACUCAGUGUAACAUCACUGCUGUCGUUGGUUUAAUGAGUUUUUAGUCUUUAAAAGUGUUCCAGAGGUUCCUGUCCUUGCCUGGCGUUGCUGAAUGUAAUCCUUCCAAGACUGGUGCCUUGGUCUGCCCGUUUGUAUGUACUGUCUGGCCUUCUGGCGAAUUUUUGCAACCUUCCUCGUAAAUGACACGGUAUCUGGCACUGAAAGUCUGCUGUCAAUGUAAAGUGUAACCCUGGAGAGCUCCUCUAGCAUUACAAGCAAACGCUACGUCGUUUGAUUAUUGUCCUUGCACUUGUAACAUUGCAUCGUGCGUGACAUUUAAACACUUGCGGCUGUAUUGUGAUAGUAUAAAUAUUUAGCCUGCUCAAGAGGAUUGGCCAUCUGCACAGAACCCUCGACUUUAAAGUAACUCGUUUGCAAAUGCGAAAACUGCACCGAAUCUGCUCUUCCUGGACCCCUUUGCUUUCACAAGUUCUUUUCUUCCAGAUUGCUGCGUGCUGUCCUGGCUGGCUGUGCUGUCCUAUCCUGUCCUAUACUGCCCUGUCCUGGCUGUCCGACGGCUACAACACCCCCCCGAAGUCAAAGGCCUUCCUGAAGUCUUUCCCAUCCAGACAGAACCGGGCUCCUGGUACCUUCUGCGACAACCAGUCGAACCGCUAGGAUUUAUCGGAUCCAUUAGGGCAGUUUCCGCCGCCGUUCUAGCAUUGUAUAAUUUUAGGCAGGUACUCAAAGAAAAUGUCAAUGCGUGGAUAUACCGUACGUUUAGAAUUGUAUAACUGUCUGCACAGACUUUGCUCACCUGGUCCACUCGGCUCCAAAUUUUAACUGUUCCAGGAAUUACGUGACGCCUGGAAAGUUGUUUUGCAGGCACCGUUUCUAUCUUUGACCCUAGACGAAAGAUGUGCGCACAUAAUCACCUUCCCAGGGGUUCUUGUAACUUUCUCUACUUGCCCCCCCCCCCCCCCCUCUCCGUUCUUUUUUCCUUUGCUCUCCCGCGGUGUCUGCAAAACAUUUGUCUAAAAUUCGUAACAUCCUCAAUUUCUAGUUUCUAAAAUUUCCAAAAUCUUCCCCAGGGAUUGCAUUGUCUGUGCUAAUUGCCUGAAAACGGGCCAUAAUUGUAUUCACCGCAUAUGCGGCUGUUUGAUUCGUAUGACCAGAAAAUACAAGAUUUAAUUUGU